rnacentral:rRNA from 1 species
AGUGAACGCUGGCGGUAGGCCUAACACAUGCAAGUCGAACGGCAGCACAGGAGAGCUUGCUCUCUGGGUGGCGAGUGGCGGACGGGUGAGGAAUACAUCGGAAUCUGCCCAGUCGUGGGGGAUAACGUAGGGAAACUUACGCUAAUACCGCAUACGACCUUCGGGUGAAAGAGGGGGAUCGCAAGACCUCUCGCGAUUGGAUGAGCCGAUGUCGGAUUAGCUAGUUGGCGGGGUAAUGGCCCACCAAGGCGACGAUCCGUAGCUGGUCUGAGAGGAUGAUCAGCCACACUGGAACUGAGACACGGUCCAGACUCCUACGGGAGGCAGCAGUGGGGAAUAUUGGACAAUGGGCGCAAGCCUGAUCCAGCCAUACCGCGUGGGUGAAGAAGGCCUUCGGGUUGUAAAGCCCUUUUGUUGGGAAAGAAAUCUUUCAGGCUAAUACCCUGGGAGGAUGACGGUACCCAAAGAAUAAGCACCGGCUAACUUUGUG